rnacentral:rRNA from 1 species
GGCGAGGAUCCCAGUUCUUUGUAAAGUGCUUUCGAAGAGUCGAGUUGUUUGGGAAUGCAGCUCUAAGUGGGUGGUAAAUUCCAUCUAAAGCUAAAUAUUGGCGAGAGACCGAUAGCGAACAAGUACAGUGAUGGAAAGAUGAAAAGAACUUUGAAAAGAGAGUGAAAAAGUACGUGAAAUUGUUGAAAGGGAAGGGCAUUUGAUCAGACAUGGUGUUUUGCGCCCUCUGCUCCUUGUGGGUGGGGGAAUCUCGCAGCUCACUGGGCCAGCAUCAGUUUUGGCGGCAGGAUAAAUCUGCAGGAAUGUAGCUUGCCUCCUUCCGUAGGUGAACCUGCGGGAAUACUGCCAGCUGGGACUGAGGACUGCGACGUA